rnacentral:rRNA from 1 species
UGGGGAAUAUUGGACAAUGGGCGCAAGCCUGAUCCAGCCAUGCCGCGUGAGUGACGAAGGCCUUAGGGUUGUAAAGCUCUUUUGGCGGGGAAGAUAAUGACGGUACCCGCAGAAUAAGCUCCGGCUAACUUCGUGCCAGCAGCCGCGGUAAUACGAAGGGAGCUAGCGUUGUUCGGAAUCACUGGGCGUAAAGCGCACGUAGGCGGACUUUCAAGUCAGGGGUGAAAUCCCGGGGCUCAACCUCGGAACUGCCUUUGAUACUGUUGAUCUCGAGUCCGGAAGAGGUGAGUGGAAUUCCUGGUGUAGAGGUGAAAUUCGUAGAUAUUAGGAAGAACACCGGUGGCGAAGGCGGCUCACUGGUCCGGUACUGACGCUGAGGUGCGAAAGCGUGGGGAGCAAACA